AAGGGGCUUAGCCUAUUAAAAGGGAGGGCAGUGGUAGGGAUGGUAAAGCGAUGUCUGAAAUGCCAGCUGAUCCGUUGGUGUGUGCGUGCAUGUGUUAUCUGUCUCCUAUACCCAUCAACUCUCAUAUGUAAUAGCCACAGGGUGUUUGUUUCCCUUUUCGGCAUUGAGGGAGUUGCUAAAGGGGAGGCUGCUUUCAAAAAAAGGGGAACUUGGAGAUAGGGAAUCGAUAUUUAUUUUUUUCCAUUUAUUUUUAUUUCUAGUCUGAAUGAAUCUGAAAGCAUAUCACACCCCGCUUCCUUGUACCCCUGAAAUAUAGUUAUAGAUCCAGGCUAAAAGGAUGCUUUGAUUUAAUAAUUUGCUGCUGUGUCUAACCCUUGCUGCAUGUAAUUCACUGCAGGCAGAACAAAGCUCUGUCACAACUGUGCUUCCUGGUUGUCGCCUCCUGCCUGCAAACCACUGAACAUUUUCCACUUGAUAUCGUCAUGCAGAAAGGGAGAAACGAGACGCAAUGAGAGAUUCAGGUGACGCUUGGUACAGCUGGCAAGAAAAAUGAGGACGUUAUCUUGUACAGAAAAAAUUGUUUCGGCCGCACCUGACAAAAGUAUGGUAUGCACAUCUCAGUCUCCCUGGAAGCAUUGGCCAGUGCUUUGGAAUGUCCAGAUUAGCUGUCAAACUUACCAUGUAGAGACUGCCACUGACAGCCAGGUUUUAAUUGGAAGGAUUGUCAGCUUGAUUGAAUCUGCUAUUGGAACGCGUGCCUGUGGGGGGUUCACUGGAGGAUGGUAAUCUUUAUCAAGAGUUUGAUGAGCUGUCUCCAGUGAGACAUCGGAACCACACAGGCAAGGAAAGUGGUGUAUGUGUGUGUGGUAUUACUAAAGAUCAACUGGGAAGGGAAAUUGACUGACUUCUUUCUUCUUUUUCAUCUUAAGCAGGAAAAAAAAAAUAACAUUCUUUGGGCUACAUCUUGCUCUGCACUUGGUUUGAGGAAAUAUAGGAGAUUGGUGAGUGGAAGCGAUUGUAGGAAGCACUGACUUUCCAAGCACAAGCAGCCAGUCAGGCUCUCUACCUACCUUUCAAAGGAGUGCAGGGUGAGCCCUGUCUAGUGUGCUGCCCCCAAGCCAAUCAAAGCAUGACUAGCUGGCUAGCACUUUGGCAGCGGUCAACAUCACAUGCCAGCUGUGGGCACCCAUUGCUCCUUUGCAAAGGAAAUGUACAAUGCACCUAGCAGUGUGAAUGCAGCUGAGCCAUCCUACCCUUCAUCAGCCCGAUGCCGUGGUUACAAGAAGCAUGACUGGUACUGAUUGGCUUUCUACUCCCAGUGAGGUGUCUGGUUAGAGCUGAUGUAAAGAUGGGCCAGAGCAAACUUUUGCAGUGCCUAACAAGAAGUUUUAAUGGUCCUGCAAAACCCCAGAACAAUGGUACUUAUUCUUGAGCGUCAUCUAUUGGCAUUUUAUUAG
rnacentral:lncRNA from 1 species